CUCGUUUCCUGGUAGGAGAAGGUGCAGGCGGAGGCGGGGCCUCCCGUGAUACAGGUGGCAGCUCUCGUCCCCUGAGAGCGGGCGAAGGCCAGGGUCCCACACUCGCAGCGCUGCGACGGCGCUCGGGACCUCCCUCGUCCACUGCUUGAGUUCCAGAGGUGGGUGCUUCCCUGUCCUGAACUUCAGAGUGCGGAGUCAUAAAUGGGUUCCGGCUGGCUUACUGCAGUAGCCUCGCUCCUCCCCAGCCCCGGUAACUCCGAGCUACCCGUCCAGGCCCUCGGGCGUCGCGGGGGCAGGGACUGGGCGCGGAACGAGGCAGGGAGGGACCUGGAAAAACCACCCAGAUUGCAUUGCAGUGGGCGAGGCCGCCUGGAGGAGCCGGUUCCCCCUAACCACCUCCCCGUGGGGCUCUCGGUGCGCGGUUCCCAGGUGCUCAGCUCUGCUGGGCCCAGGAGGUGCCGCCUCACAGGGACGCGGAACCCCGUGCGUGGCCCCCGCCGGGUGGAACAGAUAGCGCGGGGCGGUCCGGAGGCUCGUCGCCAAGCAGGUGACUCUUGCUGAAAAAGUGGUUGGAACACUUGAGGAAACCCGGCCCCGCCUGUUCUUUCUAGGUCUUUGGAGUUUGGAUUAAUCAUUUGUGUAGCCCGUUUGGAUAAACCGAAGACUUUAUUAAAUCAGCGCGUUUAACAGGAAUUCCGCAGUAGUAUCCACAUUAGAAUCUUGAGUCUUGGAGUUGAACAUAUUCACACAGACUUGCCUUCUUCCUGUUUAGUUUAUGCCUUGUGUUCCGUUAUUGGAACGCUAAGCUUGUGGGAGUUGUUUACAUCCUACUGCUCAAGGUCAUCGCUAAGGUGUGAUUUUUCACAAAAAGAAUUUGCAACCUCCGGCAUGAAUGACUUAAGGGAAGUCUAAUCCCGGUUUCUGAUUUUUUUUUUUUUUUUAAUUUAAAAGUUAAUCUUUCUGGGCCGGGCGCGGUGGCUCACGCCUGUAAUCCCAGCACUUUGGGAGGCCGAGGCGGAUCACGAGGUCAGGAGUUCGAGACCAGCCUGACCAACAUGGUGAAACCCCGUCUCUACUAAAAACACAAAAAUUAGCCGGGCGGGGUGGCGCGCACCUGUAAUCCCAGCUGCUCGGGAGGCUGAGGCAGGAGAAUCGCUUGAACCUGGGAGGCGGGGGGUUGCAGUGAGCCGAGAUCUGGCCAUUGCACUCCAGCGUGGGCAACAGAGUGAGACUCCAUCUCAAAAAAAAAGGUUAAUCUUUCCAACUAGAUUUUCAAGGAUGAGGAUUUUGUUGUUGUUGUUGUUGUUGUUCUCAAAUGUAUUCCCAGGGCUUGGAACAGAGCCUGACAUAUACUAGGCACUCAACAAAUAUUUGUUGAAUGAUUGUAAUGAGUAACACCCAUUUUUGCAGAUCUUUGUCUUCUGAGCCUAGGGCAUAGGUCAUCACUGCAGGGGUGAGAUUGUCAAAAUGGGAGUCUACAGGUAAUUUAAGACUUAAAUGUUUAAAGAGUAUGUGCUCAUUCUUCAACAAACUUACUUUUGUUAAAUUAAAAUGGUAAAAUGUGGUGGAGGGGUUGGAAUAUAUGUAAUUCAAGACAGUUCUGAAUACAAAAAUGUUUUACUGUCUAUCACCACCAUCUAUAAAUCUAAUUCACUAAGGAUAAUCUGUGUAAGGUGGCUGGAAAGAACCUUGAGGAGAGAGGCUUAUUUAAGUAUUGGCUCAGGACCACACCUAAAAUUCUCAAAACGUUGAGAUUCUGUUGUUUUGUUUUUAAGCGCCAGAGACCCAAGUUGAGGAACAGCCUAUAAAAUAACUGGCCUGUACUCUUACAUACAUGAAAGCCAUCAAAGACAAAGACUGAAGAAGAACUUUUGCAGAUUAAAGGACUUUAAGAGACAUGAUCCUGAACCAGAAAAAGUAAAAAAUAAAAAAAUAAAAAGAUCUGUAGAUUAGAUAAUAGUUUUAUAUCCAUGUUAAUUUCCCAUUUGUUGUAAUAUUACUGUGGUUGGGCAAGAGAGUGUCUUUGUUGGUGGAAGUAUCUACUGAAGUAUUUAGGGGUAAAGAGGAAUCAUGUCUGUAACUUAUGCUCAAAAGGUUCAGACAAAAUAUAUGUAAAGGGAAUGAUAAAGCAAACGCAAUAAAAUGUUAACAUUGGGGAAUCUGUAUAAGGGAAUUAUUAACUUUUCUGUAAGUCUAAAAUUAUUUCAAAUUAAAAAUAAUUUUUUUAAGCCUCAGAGGACAUUUUGCUGCCACCGCCUUGCUGGUGGUUGACAAGGCUCUGUGUCAUGACUUUUUUUUCUGCUAAUCUAACUACUUGUACUGUAAAAUAA
rnacentral:lncRNA from 1 species